rnacentral:tRNA from 1 species
ACUUUUUUAGUAUAAAUAAUAUAUUUGACUUCCAAUCAAAAGAUCUUGAAUUAAGAAAAAGUA